GAGACGCCCUUCUGGGGCAAGACUUGCUUCAGUGGGGCUUUGGUGCUCACUGAGUCUGCCCCCUGAGUGUGUCCAU
rfam:Myotis lucifugus cont2.13615, whole genome shotgun sequence.